ACGGGUGAGUAACACGUGAGCAACCUGCCCCUCACUCUGGGAUAAGCGCUGGAAACGGCGUCUAAUACUGGAUACGAGUUGGAACCGCAUGGUUACCAACUGGAAAGAUUUUUUGGUGGGGGAUGGGCUCGCGGCCUAUCAGCUUGUUGGUGAGGUAAUGGCUCACCAAGGCGUCGACGGGUAGCCGGCCUGAGAGGGUGACCGGCCACACUGGGACUGAGACACGGCCCAGACUCCUACGGGAGGCAGCAGUGGGGAAUAUUGCACAAUGGGCGGAAGCCUGAUGCAGCAACGCCGCGUGAGGGAUGACGGCCUUCGGGUUGUAAACCUCUUUUAGCAGGGAAGAAGCGAGAGUGACGGUACCUGCAGAAAAAGCACCGGCUAACUACGUGCCAGCAGCCGCGGUAAUACGUAGGGUGCAAGCGUUAUCCGGAAUUAUUGGGCGUAAAGAGCUCGUAGGCGGUUUGUCGCGUCUGCUGUGAAAUCCCGAGGCUCAACCUCGGGCCUGCAGUGGGUACGGGCAGACUAGAGUGCGGUAGGGGAGAUUGGAAUUCCUGGUGUAGCGGUGGAAUGCGCAGA
rnacentral:rRNA from 2 species